rnacentral:rRNA from 1 species
AUUGAACGCUGGCGGCAUGCUUUACACAUGCAAGUCGAACGGUAACAGGGUGCUUGCGCCGCUGACGAGUGGCGAACGGGUGAGUAAUGCAUCGGAAUGUACCGUGUAAUGGGGGAUAGCUCGGCGAAAGCCGGAUUAAUACCGCAUACGCCCUGAGGGGGCAAGUGGGGGACCGAAAGGCCUCACGUUAUACGAGCAGCCGAUGUCUGAUUAGCUAGUUGGUGAGGUAAAGGCUCACCAAGGCGGCGAUCAGUAGCGGGUCUGAGAGGAUGAUCCGCCACACUGGGACUGAGACACGGCCCAGACUCCUACGGGAGGCAGCAGUGGGGAAUUUUGGACAAUGGGCGCAAGCCUGAUCCAGCCAUGCCGCGUGUCUGAAGAAGGCCUUCGGGUUGUAAAGGACUUUUGUCCGGGAGCAAAUCCUAGUGGUUAAUAACCGCUGGGUCUGAGAGUACCGGAAGAAUAAGCACCGGCUAACUACGUG